rnacentral:rRNA from 1 species
UACGGAGGGUGCGAGCGUUGUCCGGAAUCACUGGGCGUAAAGGGCGCGUAGGUGGCGCGGGAAGUCAACGGUGAAAGUUCGGGGCUCAACCCUGAAUCGGCCGUCGAUACUCCCGGGCUCGAGCACUGUAGAGGCAGAUGGAAUUCCGGGUGUAGCGGUGGAAUGCGUAGAGAUCCGGAAGAACACCGGUGGCGAAGGCGGUCUGC